GCCUGUCUGAAGCCUUCUCCAUUCGGACUCAGACCAUUACUCUCUCUCUCUCUCUCUCUGUGAUCGGAGCCAGCCAUGUCCGUCGGAAUCGUCACGCUCGAAAUGCGGAGCCACAACUCCACGAGUAGCGACGCCAUGAGCGGAGCGACGCCGGAAGUGAACCAGUCGCCAUACCGGAAACUCAACUCGAUCAAGAGAUAAGAUCAAUACAGGCCGAGUCUCGAGUUGCAGCCACUGCCGUCGAUCGCAAAGCCGCCGCAGCCUCAGAACCCGAUUCGCCGUCGCCGAUGACGUCUUGAGUUUUUCCGAUCCACGCCAUGAGUUUCAUCUUCGCAAACAGAAAACACCCGCAGGUAAAAUAGGAGGC
rnacentral:lncRNA from 1 species